GCUGGGCAUUGUGGCGGGCACCUGUAGUCCCAGCUACUCAGGAGGCUGAGGCAAGAGAAUUGCUUAAGCCCAGGGGUUGGAGGUUGCUGUGAGCUGUGAUGCCACGGCACUCUACCCAGGUGACAGCUUGAGGCUCUGUCUCAAAAAAGAAAAAAGAAAAACAUCUUGAUGAGUCUUUUUUUUUUUUUUGAGACAGAGUCUCAAGAUGUCACCCUGGGUAGAGUGCUAUGGCAUCAUAGCUCACAGCAACCUCAAACUCUUGGGCUUAAGUGAUUCUCUUGCCUCAG
rnacentral:SRP_RNA from 1 species